UCAAGUCUCGGUUUCCAAAGCACCGCCAGCAGGACUGGCUUUCCAGAAAAUGCCGCCACGGGGAGGCUGGGAGUGUUCUCAGAGGCCACGGGCAAAGCGGAGGAGGCCGGUUUUUCUGAUAAGCUUCUCCCUCUUGGCAGAUGGCACCACCAUUCAUACAGGCACUGAGGCCAAAAACCUAUGUGUCAUUCCUCAUUCCAUCCUCCUCCUGGCCUCUAUGGUAAGCAGCCUCCAAGAUGGCCCAGUGAUUCUUGCCUCCUGGUAUCCAUAGCCUGCAUGGUCCCCUCCCAUACUGAACCUGUGUAAUCAACAGGAUGUGGCAGAAGUGAUGGAGUAUGACUCCGAGGCUAGGUCAUGAGAGUCAGUGUGCCCUCCUCCCUGCUCUCUUGGAUCACUCUCGUGAAGGGCACUUGUGCAGACCUAUGAAGAGGCUCAUGUGGGGAGGAGCUGAGACCUCCUGCAGACAGCCAGCAUUAAUUUGCCAACCAUGUGAACGAGCCCCCUUGGAAGCGGAGCCUCCAGCCCCAUUCAAGCCUUCGGAUGAUGGCAGCCCCAGCCGACAUCUUGUCUGCAAUCUCAUAAAAGACCCUGAGGGAGAACCACCCGGCUAAGUCGCUCCCAAAUUUCUGACCCACAAAAACCACGAGACAACAAAUGUUUGUUGUUCUAAACUGCUAAGUCUAGAGCAAUUUGUUACACAAGUACAGUUAACUGACACUGCCUUCUGCCUGCAACCAUCCAUCAAGUCCUAUGGAUUCUACUUCUAAAUGACGUAUUGACUCUGCCAUCUCCCUUCUCCUCCACGGCCACUGCCACGGGCCAAGCCACCAUCACAUCUCAUACGAUGACUGCAGACUGGCCUCUCUGCCUCCACCUGGUUUCUGCCUGACCCAUUGCAGCCUGUAGCAUUCUACAAAUGCAAACUACUUCCAGUCCUUCCAGUGGCUCCCCGUGGCCCACGGGAUGAAACCUGAACUCUUUGCCACGAGCCAUAAGGCCCUUCAGGCCAAAGCCCACCUGCCUCCCUUCCCUGGCCUCAUCUCCUGGUCCACUCUGCUCCAGCUGCACUGGGCUGUCUUUUGUUUCUCAUAUGCAUCAGCUCUCCCCACUCGGAGCCUAUGUCCUGGCUGUUUAUUCCGCCUGAAACACUCUUCCCAUGGCCCUACCUUCACUUUCCAGCUGAGAAAUCACCUCCUCAGAGGGGUCUUCACUGAUCACCCUGUCUACUGAGCAUGAUUCCCCAUCAGUACUCCCCAUCGCUACGUCUUGUGGAUUCCCUUUACAAACUAUAAUGACCUGAAAUUAGUUUAUUCAUUUAUUAAUCCUGCUUAUUACCAUCCACUCCUCUCUAUCCCUUAGGCUAUUUUUUUGGAAGCUGGCACCAUGAAUGUACCCAGUGCCUGGCACCAAGCAAGUAUCCAAUAAAAUGUUGUUAAAUGAAUGAAUAAA